rnacentral:rRNA from 1 species
GACAGAGGUGCCAAGCGUUUAGGCGGAAUCACUGGGCUUAAAGCGUGUGUAGGCGGAAUGGUAAGUACCUUGUGAAAUCCCACGGCUCAACCGUGGAACUGCUUGGUAUACUGCUUUUCUUGAGCCACUUAGGGGCAACCGGAACAAACGGUGGAGCGGUGAAAUGCGUAGAUAUCGUUUGGAACGCCAAUGGUGAAAACAGGUUGCUGGGAGUGUGCU